rnacentral:rRNA from 1 species
AUUGAACGCUGGCGGCAGGCUUAACACAUGCAAGUCGAGCGAGCGGCGGACGGGUGAGUAAUGUCUGGGAAACUGCCUGAUGGAGGGGGAUAACUACUGGAAACGGUGGCUAAUACCGCAUACUAUCGGAUGAACCCAUAUGGGAUUAGCUAGGAGGUGGGGUAAAGGCUCACCUAGGCGACGAUCUCUAGCUGGUCUGAGAGGAUGAUACGCCACACAGGGACUGAGAAACGGCCCAGACUCCUACGGAAGGCAGCAGUGAGGAAUGUUGCACAAUAGGCGCAAGCCUGAUGCAGCCAUGCCGCGUGUAUGAGAAAAGCCUUAGGGUUGUAAAGUACUUUCAGCGGGGAGGCGUUACCCGCAGAAGAAGCACCGGCUAACUCCGUGCCAACAGCCACGGUAAUAC